CGGGACCGUAAGCCCAGGUGGGGGCGGUGAUCGUCCAUGAUCCCGUCCUCAUGUGAUGUGCCUGGGGGUCAAGGGGUCGCAGGUUCAAAUCCUGUCGUCCCGACCA
rnacentral:tRNA from 1 species